rnacentral:rRNA from 1 species
GGGUGCGAUCAUACUAGCGUUAAUGCACCAGAUCCCAUCAGAACUCCGCAAUUAAGUGCGCUUGGGCUAGAGUAGUAUUGGGAUGGGUGACCUCCCAAGAAGUCCUAGUGUUGCACCCU